rnacentral:rRNA from 1 species
UACGGGGGGGGCAAGCGUUGUUCGGAAUUACUGGGCGUAAAGGGCUCGUAGGCGGCCAACUAAGUCAGACGUGAAAUCCCUCGGCUUAACCGGGGAACUGCAUCUGAUACUGGAUGGCUUGAGAUUGGGAGAGGGAUGUGGAAUUCCAGGUGUAGCGGUGAAAUGCGUAGAUAUCUGGAGGAACACCGGUGGCGAAGGCGGCAUCCUGGACCGGCAUUGACGCUGAGGAGCGAAAGCCAGGGGAGCAAACGGG